GUAAUAUUAUUACAAGAAGAAACACAUAUAGAGCAGAAAUACCAAAAUAUAUUGCCUGAAAUGAUCAACAUUGUGAUAGAAUUUAUUUUGAACAGACGUUUAUUUUUCUGUCCCCUUUAAGUAACACUGCAUAUGGUGAAUUCUCAUAUUUGUCACUCCACCUGUAAUUUGACUAAGAUUACAUUUCUGUUUGUUUCAAUGAUAAUAAUUACUCAGUAAUAGAAGUUGCAAAGGGAAUUUUUGAACUAUAACUUCGAAAACACACUGACCUGCAGUCUUCUUUUCCAGGGAUUUGGAGCUCCAAAUCCUCU
rnacentral:misc_RNA from 1 species